rfam:Hypholoma sublateritium FD-334 SS-4 unplaced genomic scaffold scaffold_4, whole genome shotgun sequence.
GUCGGUAUCGAUUAGGGGUUAAAUCACCUCGUUGUGGAUGCUUACGUAAGCCCGAGGAGCCACCAGUUCGAAUCCGGUUACCGACA